ensembl:lncRNA
AUUUUCAUUUUUCCCAGUAAUGCUGAGAGGUAGAGGUAUUAUCAUCUCUGCUUUCUAGAUGAAGAGGGUUACCUCAUCUCCAAAUUUUGCAGCUGGUUAAUUUAGUUUACAAAGUAACAUUUAGAGUUUGUCAUUUCUCCCCGUGUGGCCCCAAUUGCUCCUAAUAUAGUGUUGAUUUUUCUGUGUGAAGUAAUCCAGAGGAGGUUCUGGGUUCAAAGCAGAUUUUCGAAGGUGUUUUAAACUCCUCAUUGCCCCAGUGCUAGAAUAUCAAGGUUCAAGGAAUAAUGCAUUUACUUUGGAAGCUUGCCAUUUACAAGUAUUUACUUAGCAAGCCCUCUUCUUCACCAGCCCUACUGGUACCUGAGGCGGCCUCAUGGUUGUUGGUUUGGGGGAACUUUCUCCUCCCUUUUUUCUUGAAGCCCUGCUAGGUGGAGUAGGUCAGCUCGUCUCACCAGGGGUGGCCAGUUCUGAGAGUCCAUCUGCUGGAUCAUCUGUUGGUGGUGGUUCAGUCGCUAAGUCGUGUCUGACUUUCAACCUCACAGAGCCUCUCUGCCAGGCUCCUCUGUCCAUAGGAUUCCCCAGGCAAGCAUACUGGAAUGGGUUGCCAUUUCCUUCUUCAAGUGAUAUUCCCAACCCAGAGAUUGAACCCAUGUCUCCUGCAUUUAAGACAGAUUCUUUACCGAUUGAGCCACCAUGGGAUCAUCUCUUGGGAUGCCACAUGAUACAGAACAAUGCCACUUUCUUAGAAGACAAAGAACUACAUUGUCUGUUCCAGGAUGGAAUAUGGCUCACAUGCCACCUCAUUGUUCUUGGCAUCUAUUUGACACUGAAUACCCACCCACCUUCCCAGGCAAAACAAGGAUGCCUUGGCUUCCUCCUUAAACCUCUCUGAACUCCCAGCUGGUUUAAGUGAAUGGAAUUCUUGAGGGUGUUGAAAGGACAUGCCCAUGUGCUGAUAAAACCGUUUGGGGGUGACCUUGAGAAAAUUGUGGAGAGGAGGAAGUAUGCCAGUCCACUUUGAUUUUCACAACUGGGGAGAUGGUAAAUUAUGGAAACUUCAGCUGCAGAGUGUAUGUUGCUGUUUAGCAG